CAAGGAUGGCUCUGCCCAUCUCCACCUCCCCAUCCGUGGCUGCCUUCCAGGCCCAGGACGCAGUGGGCAGGCCAGAUCCCGCAGGCUGACCUCUCUUCCUCUUCUGCAUAAAUGAAAUUUCUGACAAGCAUGGCCUCGAGCACCCUGGCACUAAAAGCUGACGUCUUGAUGUGGCCGGAGAAACCGCUCUCUCACUUCGCAGGGAGAACAGAGGGAAAAGGAAAUAAUCAAGUUCCUGUGAUCAAGCCUGAGGAUGAUAAAGUAGGAAGAACUCAAACUGCAGGAGGGAACUGGGAAACAUUAGGAGAAGGCUGCAGUGUUUUAUGGUCUGUGCUGCUCUUCUUUGCUUCUCGAUCCUUUUUUUUUUUUUUUUUUUUUUGAGGGAAACAAAUUAAAGGGCUUGGAUUUUAAUGAGGCCACAGAAAGAUAAAAAUUAUCCUGAGUUUGUUGGAGCAGGAAUGGGUUCCAGGCUGCCUCUUCCCCACUCAUCCCCUCAAGCCUCCUGCUAGCCCUACUGCGACCUCCAGGAGACUCAAGUGUCUACACAACCACACCCAAGUGACCUAUGAAUCAGGCUUCAGGAGGCCGGUGCUGGAUAGAAGGGAGCUCAAAAAUCUCACUAAUUUCCAGUUCUCAAAGUGUGCUCCCCAGACUGGGUGUUGGAAGCUAAGGGAGCUCAAACCCCAAGCUCCUGAUGAACUGUUUCGACCGCCUUUUUACCUACGGGGAUUCUGUGUGUCAUUUUAUUUGAGCAGAAGAUUUAACCACUAAAUACCAGUUUGGAAAACUCAUCUGGCUGAUCUGGUCUGAUCAUUUUACGGAUGAGGGCUCCGAGGCUCUCCAAGCAAGAAGGGCUUAGGUCACACUGUGAAUGAAUGGCAAAUCUGAGUCUCAAGCCAAGGUAUCUUGACAUUUAGUCCAGUGUUCCUCUUCUGAUACCACCCUCCCCUCCACCAGCCAUGCUCUCAUGGCUUCCUCUGCUGCUGAUGCCAAAGCUGUACUUCGGAUCCAGACCUUCACGUUUCACAGCUGGCUAUCCAGCGCUGCUGGAUGUCUCUACUUAGAUGUCUGUGGGCACCUGCAGUCCCCCACAUCUACCACUCACCAUCCACCCCUGCUGGACGCCAGCCUCAGCGGACGGACCAUCCAGCCACCCAGGCACCCAGCGGCGGCUCCAGCAUUUUUACAGGAGCAAAUAAAAGGCAGCGGAGGUCAAAGAGAAAAUGGUGCUACUGAACUUGUCUCACAGCUGAGUCUGCGUGACAGGCACACUGCUUUUCCUGAGGUUAUAUACUUAAUCGGGGUGCUGAGGAUUUAACAGAAGACCUCCUCCUGACUCAGCCACUGCAGUCAUCCGGAGUAGAAAAUGCUGCUGGGCGCCUGACCUCUGGUUCAAGGUGCAAAUAUCCAUCCCUGCAGUUGCCAUGCUGGGUUGUCAUGAUCUGAUUAUGUGUCAUCUCUCCCACAAGACUGCUCACUCCUUGGAAACAAGUCCUGCAUCUUACUCAUCUAUCUCCCCAACGCCCAGCUCAAAGAUCAGCAUAAGGACCAUAGUUGGGUUUCAAGUGAGUAAAUGUGCUCCCAUGUGGUUAUUUCUGAGAACCAAGACCCCCUCAGAAAUCUUCCCCAGAGCUGAGUAUGCUCUGGAGGGAGGGGUGUCUCCACCCUGGAAGAGCCAAGCCUUUCCCUUGACAUUUCCUGAUGGGGCACUGCUCUUGUGUAUUUACUCUCAGGACAAGGACUCCAUAUUGGGUUAUCUGGGCUGAAACACAAUCUGUUUGCUGAUAUCAAAAUGCUGCUGCUCACCCAGGGGAUUAACACUCUGACAAAAUCAUUAGAAACCUGAUGGAGUAGUGAGGCCUCCUGAGCUUGCCGAACACUCAUUCCUCAGCCUAAUGAAUGCCUUCCUCCUGGGCACGUGCUUACAACCCAUCCAUUUCCCUGCCUUCUUCGUGGCUGGGCAGCCCAGAGACUCUAGAAAAUGCCUCAAGGAAGGUUCACCCCUAGUUGGCUGGGCCACCUACCAAGACCCCCAGCUAAGAACUGCUCUUGUAAUCCUGUGGCUUUUAUACAUUCAUAAUAAACACCUGAUUUCUACUUCCGAGUAGGAUGGGCUAGUUUGUGGCAGAUCAAUACUUCCACUGAGAACAAGUAGAAAUGCUAAAUAAAAAACAAUAAUCAUCUGUUUCAAGGCAUCUUAGAUCUUCUGGAGCAACAAGGAUCAGAGAGGAUAUAAUGACAGAGAGUGGAAAGGGAGGGGAAUGAGCUGAUGUUCUGUAGUUGCUUCUAACCUGGAGGGCUUUGCCAUUUCUGGGCACAGGAUGAGAGGCUGGGAGUCCAGGCUUUGCACCAAUGUAGGGCUGCUGCUAGAGGACAAAAAAGCCAAGAGAGCUUCUGGCAGACUUAGGACUACAAAGAGAAAAUUAGGAAUGUAAGGGGCCUCAAAUGCAUGGCUGGUUAUCCCCUGAGGUCAUUUAUAGAACUCUACCAUUGAACAGAGCAGAAGGCCAACAAGCAAGCAAGCAAGCAAACAAACAAAAAGCUUAAGCAGAAAGCCUCUAUAAAACAGAUUUUCCUGCAGUCUCAAGGCCCCACCGAGGAGACCAGACUAGAAUCAGGACCCAGCAGAGAAGGGAAUCAGUGAACACACCAAGCUCUCAAUUAAUGCUGGCUAUUUCCUCGGAAAGGGGUGACUCAGAAGUAGAUUAAACCUUAUCAAAACACAACCCAGCUUGGACUCAGUUCGGUUUUAAUUGGAUUAAUAUCUUGGUUGUACUCUGCCUAGCAAAAAGUAAAACACUCUCUUGAAGGUCACAGUGUCUACAGCCUACAUCUAGCAUUCAAUUAAAAAAAAAAAUUAUUAGGCAUGCCCAAACAUAGAAUCAUAUGACCAAAAUCCAAGAGGGGGGGGAAACAACAGACAAUAGAAACAGA